GUGAAAUUGUUGAAAGGGAAACGAUUGAAGUCAGUCGUACCAGCGGGAAAUCAACCUUUCGGGUGGGAUCUUGGAGCUUUUAAAGAGUUUCAAAGCCUUUGGGGUUUCAAGAUUUCUACUCUUUUGGUGUACUUUCUCGUAGGUAGGUCAACAUCGAUUUUGAACAUCAUAAAAAGAUCGGAGGAAUGUAGCUUCGAUCUCGUAUUGAAGUGUUAUAGCCUUUGGUAAAUGUGAUAUUUAAGAUCGAGGAUUGCAACGAAUAUCCUUUUGGGCUAUUCGUCUGAUCUCUGAUACGUGGCCUUGGUAUCGAAAGCGUGCUUACGGUAUUAAGGUAUUACGGUCAAAAGGUUAGAACGGAUUACAUUCGUUAAGGAUGUUGACGUAAUGGCUUUAAACGAC
rnacentral:rRNA from 1 species